UACGUAGGGAGCAAGCGUUGUCCGGAUUUAUUGGGCGUAAAGAGCGUGUAGGCGGUCCGGUAAGUCCGCUGUGAAAGUCGGGGGCUCAACCCUCGAAUGCCGGUGGAUACUGUCGGGCUAGAGUGCGGAAGAGGCGAGUGGAAUUCCUGGUGUAGCGGUGAAAUGCGCAGAUAUCAGGAAGAACACCCGUGGCGAAGGCGGCUCUCUGGGACGGUACUGACGCUGAGGAGCGAAAGCGUGGGGAGCGAACAGG
rnacentral:rRNA from 1 species